rnacentral:lncRNA from 1 species
UUUUUUUUUUUUUUUUUUAGUGCUAAAUAACAUUCUGUUAUCUGGCUGUACCAGCUACUGAAGGACAUCUUGGUUGCUUCCAUAUUUGGGGAAUUAUGAAUAAAUUUGCUCUAAAUACCUGUGUUCAGGUUUUGUGUGGACAUGUUUUUAGCUCCUUUGCAUAAAAACCAAGGAGUGUGUGGAGUUCCUGUUGUGGCGCAGUGGUUAACGAAUCUGACUAGGAACCAUGAGGUUGCGAGUUCAAUCCCUGGCCUUGCUCAGUGGGUUAAGGAUCCGGCAUUGCCGUGAGCUGUGCUGUAGGUUGCAGACUCGGCUUGGAUCCCAUGUUGCUGUGGCUCUGGCAUAGGCCGGUGACUACAGCUCCAAUUAGACCCCUAGCCUGGGAACCUCCAUAUGCUGCAGGAGUGGCCCCAGAAAAAGGCAAAAAGACAAAAAAAAAACCCAAAAAAACAAAAAAACCAAGGAGUGUGAAUGCUGGAUCACAUGGUAAGAACAGGUUUAGUUUUGUAAGAAAAUACCAGUCUGUUCCAAAGUGGCUGUACCAUUUGGCAUUCCUACUAGCAAUGAAUGAAAUUUCCUAUUGUUCCACAUUUUCACCAGCAUUUGGUGUUGCCAGUGUUCUGAAUUCUGGCCAUUGUAAUAGGUAUAUAAAUAAAUGUUUUAACAUUCUUUUAUGAUAAGUUAAUUAUCUCAGAAAAUCUUAUACAUGUGUAUAUAUGCAUGUGUAUAUUUAUAUGAAAAUUCACCAGUUUAUGAAAAUCCAUUAUGAUGUCAAAGAAAUUUUAUCCCAAUUCAAAUAGUAGUUUUUUUUACAAUAUUACGUCUCUAGUUUACUAGAUGCUACAAAAAGAAAGUAAGGAAGAUUGGAAAAGAAAUAUCCAAUACAGAGUGCUCAGAGUACUGUGUGAGAAGAUGUCAGUUGUAUACAUGACUUUAAUUGAGAAUCAUAUUAAAACAUAGUAAGUGAAUAAGUGUCAAAAAGCAUAAUAUAGGUAGAGAAAUAAAUGUAAGUCCCAAAACUUAAGUGGGGCUUAUUUGGGGCAUUAUGGGUUGAGAUAAGAGUUAGAGGAAGGAGUGGUAGAAUUUUAUUUGUUUAUGAAGAACCUUAAAUUCACAAAAGAAAUUUAUAAUAGAAAUCUAAGUAUAUAUAAUUCAAUUGUCCUAAUAUGGAUUAAAAGAAAAAAUUCAAAUUCAUGUCAGUGCUAAUGUUUAGUCUGUCUAUUAACCUUCUCUAAAAUAUUUAAUUAUAACUAAUUUAAGUGGUCUUAAGACUUGUGGCUAAUUUUUAGUUGUAAUUGAAUAGAAAAUGAGUCUCUGAUAUGCAUAAAUAGGACAAGCCAGGGAGAAUUUGGCAACUGGCUCUUUGCUUAGAACACAUCAAUAUAUAGUUGACUGAUUAAACUAAAAAUGACAAAUAAUUAUAAAGCAUGUAUUAAGUAGAAAAUGCUUACUUUUAAAAUUCUUUCAGACAUUGUAUUAUUAGAAUGUGAAAGGCAAUUGCUAGAAUAUUACUGACCAACUUUUUCUUUAAUUUUAAACUAAAAAUGCUUAAGGAAAAUAAAACAUUUGAUUCAUUAUCUAUAAGAUCUAGACUUUGAUAUUACAUGAGGGGUGUGUUCUACCAAUUUUGAUAUCUGUUAUUAUGACUUACACAUGUCAUAGAAAAUAUUCAAUUCAUUACAAAUGCCUUCCACUGAAGAGAUGGAAUUACAAUGCCUAGCUAAUCCUGCCUGCUGAGCAAUCUUCAGAUAUGCCUUUACAUAUAUGGACUCUAAAGGAGGAAUACAUUUUAAGACUGUGACUGACAACACAGCUGGGCUGAGAUGAACAUAUCAUGGCAUGACUCUGGAAGUAUAAACUCUUGAACUGAGUCUUAAAAUUCCUUUCAUGUGGUUCAUUUAAGCAAUCCACAUCCAAGUCAUUGAAAACCUUUGCUUCAAAUAUGCUAGUGAAAGACUGACACAUGGAAGUGGGAUGUAUCAAAAAUUAUCUAAUGCAUGCCCUCACAGAAAAAUUUUAAUUCAUAUAACUCUCCAAAGUAAUAUACUAUGGUGGCACACUCAUGACUCAGUAAAUCACCUCACUCUAACACAUAUUAUUUCAUUAUAAUUUGAUACUCAAGUACUGUGUAUAAAAAUCUUUCUCUAUGAAGGAAAAGUUUCUGUAUUCUUUUACUUUUGCAGCCUUAUUCUAAUGUAUAGUACUGAAUUUUUCUUUAAUUUAUGUUUCAAUAUAAGAUAAAAGAGUUAUCUGUAACCAGAAACAGGAAUAAGAACCAGUGACAGCUUUCUGUAGCCCUCAUCUCAAGGAGAAGAAAACAAAAUAGCCCAAAAUAUGACACUUCCAACAGGCUUAUUAAUGACGUUUUGUCUGGAAGCCAAUUGAUAUGAUAGAGUACAGUCAUGUGGACAAAAAAAAAACUACUAAUUUUUUUGUUAAACAAGGAAGACUAAUUAAGAAAUAAAUCUCCAUUAGUUUGUCUCCCUUAGUACAGUUAGCAGAUGAAAUUAGAGUAACUGAAAGAAAAAAAGCAUAACCAAGUUUUAAAAAAAGUUCUCACUCUUCUAAAUUAGGUCAUUCUGAUGAAGUAGAUCACACUAUAUAGCAAGGGAUCCACAGUUAGGAAUAAAUGGAAAGAUUAGUCUUGUUGAGCAAAUUAAUAGGCAUCAGUAUCCAAAAAUAUUAACUCUACUUAGAAAAUCUCAUAGUUUCUUUUUCCAGAGGUACAGUAGGGUCAUUUGAAAUAUUGUACUUUUUUCUAUGCUAAAUUAAGUUUGUUUUUUUCAUGUCAAGACUGACUACAUACCAUAGCAUGAGUAAUCAUUUCCAUAGAUUCUUAGGGGAUGAACAUCUGGCCCAUAUUUGCUAAUGAUGAUCAUGUUUAUAUGUUACUGCCAGACUGGACUUGGCAUGCUUAUGUAGUAAUUUUGGCUAUUUUGAUAGCUGCUACCACCAAAUUGAAUAUAUGAUGUUUCAGAUCAAUUGUUAAGACAUCGGAAAGCACUAGAUAAGUGAUAACCUGGUCCAGUCAGUCUGUGAUGCUUAGAAAUAUUCCUUAAUAACAAUUUGCUUGAGUCUACAUUUAGAAAUGUUAUACAUUGUAUUUUCCAUGAAUACUAAUCCUUAAAUAAGGUGGUUUAACCUAAUAGAAUGAUUGAAAGGAUUUUCCUAUACUUACUGAUAGAUAUUUAUUUGGCUGUAUUAAAAGGACCAACAAAUUCCUCUAAAUACUCUGAAACUGAUUACUACUAACCUAAAAGGUAGAUAACUGAUCCUCAAGAGGAGGGAGACGAUCCACCUUAUUUCCCUGACAAUUUUCCCAAAGGUAAUGUUGUCCCUUGUUAUGUAAAAUGAUUUCCUAAGGCCCAAAGCAUAUCAGAUAAUAGAAGGUGAAUUUUUAUUUACAUUGUCUUAGAAGAACUAAGAUGUUCAAAAUUAUUGUGCAUUCUUUGUAUGAAAAAUAAUACAGUAUCCUAAUACCACACAUUUUCCAGUCUUUAAUUUCUGUAAAAAUAAUUCUGAGACAUAACUUUUAAAAAGGAUGCAAAUAAUUUUGUGGAAAAUGUUAAGCUGUUUAAAAUGAAACAGUAUAAGCUCACUUGCAAAGUCAACAAAUAAU